AUGUUGGAUCUGGAUGCGGGCAGCAAAUUGGCGGCGGUGGUACUGAGAGGGCGAACUGCAGCGAGCGGCGUCGUCGAGGGGCUUCGCCGACAGCAUCCGCAGUUAACGGACAGGGUCGACCCUCAUGCCCCUUGUUGGUCUAAGAGGUUUCCCCUUCAGAAGGAGUUGACCAAACAGCCUGGAACAUCCAUAUCCAGUGCCCCUAGUCCUGUUGCCACCACACGAGGCGAAGCCGACAGUGCUGGAGGAUUCGAACUGCGCGUCCGGCUGUGUGCAAGAGGUCGGUGGCCGCAGCCAGUGAAGAGCAGGAGGUGA
rnacentral:rRNA from 1 species